UCAGUACCAGGCAGGCUGUGGAGUAAGGAAGGACCACAGCAGAGUAAAGCAAUGGAGACCGAGGUCUCAGAAACCCUCAGGGAAGUUGGCAUUUUAACUGGUCUUUGAAGACCAGAUGAGGAAACUGAGGCUGAGAGGGUAGAGAACUUUGCCUGAGGUCACUCAGCAGGGACCCACCCAUCACAGUAAAUGCCAGCACUGCUGAUGCCAAAACAAUGUUAUUUGUAGGCCCUCGGAAUUUGUGACCUGAAGGAAGAAGAGCAGGGCCGUGGGAAGUAUGUAACCAGUGUCAUGCCCCUGGUCCCAAGGAAGCAGUGGCUUGGCCUGAACACCCUGUCCUACCUGGUCCUACCUGGAUGCUGGCCUCAGUAAGCUCCUGGGCUCAUUGAAGAUGAACCUAGCAGUAGUAUUUACACCACUUGUUGUGUGCCCACUGUGGGCCCGGCGCCAUGCCGAGUGCUCUAUGGAUGUGAGUGCUGGGAGAGAAAAGCAUACGACAUAGACAGGGAGGUCAAGCUCCACCACGCAGAUGAGGUGCAGGCCACCAGUCUUCCUCUGCCACAUCUCUUUCUGAAAAGGACUUCACAUUCACCCUUGCAAUCCAUGUGGGGACACUGUUGGAUAGGAGGCGUGGUCCCAGCGUGGUCUCCCUGUCUGGGCCUCUGCCUAUGCCAAAUGUUUGCCUUACGCUGCACACUCAAGAGGUUCCAUGUAUACAGAUGGGAAUUCCAGAGCUACAGAAAAGGCAGCAAGCACCAUGAUUUAAGCUAACCAGUGUGGAUUCACACCUUCCUCUCUCUCUAUCAGUGGCAGAACUACCAGCUAGAGUAAGAAGUGGUUGAUCCAGGACCUAAACAUUCUGGAAACUCUUGCCCACUUCUGGGAGAAAUGACCCAAUCCAUAGUACUAAGCACACCUUAACUUUCGUAGGACGCAGGCAAGUUGUCAUACCGUGUGCCUAAAUAUAGAAAAAUGAUCCACUGGACUAAUAAAGUGUUAAAUAAAA
rnacentral:lncRNA from 1 species